AGCAUGCUCAGUGUAAAUUCUCCUGUAGCCUGUCAAGCUAUGUUUGAACUCGUUCCAGAAUACUGGAUUUACUUUUUUUUUUCCACCAGGAAGAAUGCUCGAUUAGACUGCAUUUUGCCCUGUUUUUCUUUCUUUCUCUCUUUCUUUCUUUCUUUCUUUCUUUCUUUCUUUCUUUCUUUCUUUCUUUCUUUCUUUCUUUCUUUCUUUUUUUCUUCCUUUCUUCCUUUCUGACAGAAGACUGGAAACAAUAUUCUUUUCCGAUCAGUUCAAUAAUACAAUGUCCUUCAGGGUCCACUUGAGCAUUUCAGUGGAGAAGAAAAGAAACUUUGCUACCUGGGAGCUGAAGACUACUUAGGUCAGUGAAUGCUAAUAAAGUCCUUAAGGACUUAUGGAACCAGGAGUUAACUUUUCUCAACUGUGAAGUAAAGAUGCUGCUGUUCCAUCUUCCAUUGUUCUCAUCUUUCCAAGACUGUGGUGCUCUAGGAGAUCUGCCCUGUGGAAGGGGAACGCAGAUCUAGACUAUUGGUCAGAUGAAGUCAACUGAUUCAUGCCUUGCCAGCUGGAUCUCCCUUGCUUCUUCCAGGAGAGAGGGGGUUGAAAGAGCCAACAGGAACUGAGAAGCUUUUCCUUUCGGACCUCAGGUUGAUCAUAGACCUAAACACUGUCAGAACUAGAGGGAUCCCCAAGAGUGGUUUCAGUCCGCAAGAUAAACGAAGGAGGAAAAGUAACAAAGAGCUUGAAGACUUUCAUGGCUCCCAGGCCCUGGAUGGAGGCAGGCGGCCCCAGACAGACAGACAGAACCAAGGAGGUGCCUGUGGCUGCAGAGCCCAGACUUGUCUUGGAAAAGAUGGAGAAGAGCCAGUAAACUUGGCUUCCUCGAUUCUGCUCAUCCCCAUCAGCAGAGAAAAAUAAUGACUCCCGAAACAUUUCAGAAUCAAAAAGUUAAAACGAUGUUUCAGUGAUGCUACAUCAUGCCAGACACGGGCUAAUGGUUUGAAGAUAUUGGCCUAGCAAGAUGGCAACGAGCUUAAAAAAUAGGAUUCCUAAGAAGUUACUUUUUUCAGACAUCUCAAACCCCCAAACGAGAGAAGAUCUUGAGGCCUGUUGCCACAAACCCGUAGAUCCGAACUUGUGGUGAUAGUCCACACAAGCUUGUGUCUACAGGCCUGACUAAUUGUUUUGAAAGUUACUGUGAUCUUUUUUGGAAACGGACAGAAGCUCGUGUACAAGACCCAUCUCACCCUGGCCUGACUUGUACCUUGUGGCAAUUCUUUCUCCCCCAUUGUUCUCAAAUCCGUCCUUAUCUUCUUAAAAUAAAAUUAACCAAGGGAAUGGAGGCACUGAAGUCUUUAUACUUCUGUGCAUAGCCAGCACUGUAAGAAAAAGAACUUUUUAUAAAAAAGAAAUCGCCCGUUGAGGUCUAACUUCAUAGUUGGCCAGAGUUGUAUUGUAAGUCUUCACAUGUUUAAGAGGUUGGAAUGAAAAUAAUUUUAUCCCCUUGCCUCUUAAAUGUCACCAUUGUGCCAGGAUUGGAAAGCCAAACUGACUUCAGAUCAAAGCAAAAGUGGCUAUAUUUGUCUCAUUCCAACAAUGUGAGCUGAGGAGUCUGUAAACAGAACCCAGGGUGAAAAGUUGAUCAGAUUUGGAUGACUCUUAAACUCUUGCAUUCCCUUCUGGUCAAACACGGUGCCAGGAAUUCCCUUAAGAUUUUUGUUUUGUUUUGCUUUAUUUUUUUGUGCAGACUCUUCUAACCAGAAGAGUCAAUAUAAAGCAGUUACUGAGUUACCAUUGGCAGUAAGUUUGAAAUUCGAAUGGUAACACUUUAUUUCAUUAAAUGCUCUUUCCUCUUCAGAGCCACCCUGUCCUGGGAUGGUAGAACUCUUCUAUUACAUACAUAAAAAUGAAAUGUUGUAUGUUGGAAUUGGGAAGGUCUAGGUAUAGAUCCCAUAUGUUUAAGGGGGAGAAUGAAAAGUUCUGCAAAUGCUCCACCCGGAGGAUAUGGUGUCCACGCAUUACCUUUGUGUUUGCUUGGCAUAGCAUCGAAGAGGGUUGUAGGCCUCAGCUGCCAGCUUGCCAAGAAGUCAUUACUUCAUUACGGAAUGAUAGAACAUGACAUCCUGAAGAGAAAGACUGUCCUCAUCGGCGUGUAUCAUGUAUAAUUGUUUGCCCAAUGCCUUGAUCCACCCAUUAAGCAAACAAUCUACUUGGUUUUACCUGCCUCUUGAAGUGAUUGACUUAGAAUGGAUAAGCUGCUAGCAAAUUAAACUUGUAUUUUCCCUGGAUAAAUACUUAUCUUUGAUAAAGGCAAAAUCAUGUCUCCACUCAUCAUCCCAUUAACCUGCCGUUAAAGUGUGUUACCAGUGAGACCAAUGGAGUUCAUGAAUCCAAGGGGACGUUGAGCUGCCUAUAGUCCCCAUACAAAGACACCAGAAGGACUACAGGAUGCCCAUGAGGUGACUGCCAGGUUGUUUCUUUGAAAGAGGUUUUUAAAACCCAUUACCCUAAGAAAAAAGUUUAUGGAGAGCAGUCAGUCUUUUCAAGGUUUCUAAAAGACCUGUGAUACUAUUAUUUGAUUCAUCUGACUAGAAAAUAUUCUAGUGGAAAACCCAAAGCCCCUGGAUCCUGGCCACAAGAAACAGGAUAUUAAAUAUUUUACAUGAUGAUGCAAUUCAGUGUUUUUCCCUCCUUCCAUGUCCAUGAAUGAAUGCUUCUGUAGAUAUUAAUUAUUCCUUUGGGUCUCCCUCAGAGUGGGCCAAAUAUUCUAUAGGAAGCUGCAGAAAGUAAAAUAAUUUCAGGUCUUCCCCAGAAAGACUCUAAAAAUAUAUUUCAGUAGUCAGUAUUGCAUGGAGGUGUAGAGAGAAUGAAUAUAAAACAAAGUAGUUUUAUUAAAAUCCUCAAAUUGUUGGUAUCAAAAUACAUUUAUGAAGCUGUAACAUCAGGAUAUAGUUUAGUUUAAAAAAAAAAACAAAAUUAUAAUUCUUAUUCCAAGAAUUGCAUUUGAUAAAGCAAUUCAACCCUCAUCACCAGAGAUGGGGUGGGGGGCAGAGGGAGGAGUUGAUACUUCGUUUUAAAAGAGUUUCUUGUUUUUAUUCCAAAAUUAAUAAAUAGAUUUUUCUACAAGAAAAAAUGGUAUGUACGGGAAAUAAUUAACUUUGAAUUUUAAUUUAAUAUGAUUCCUUCUUUUUCAAUGUGCUUACCAAUAAUUCCCUAGUAUCUGUUAGGUCUUAUGAAUCUUUGUUGGCUGACUAUGGUAUUUAACCUCAUCCGAUGUGCUCUAGCCUCUCUAAGUUUUUUAAGCUUCUUAUGCCUGGAAUAGUGCUGAAAUUUUACAGAGAAGUCAAUAUGAAUGACUCUUCAAAAAUUUCAAAGAUUUGUCAACACCUGACAUGGUGCUCAAUAAAGUAAAGUUAGAAUGAAGCUCCUUAUUUCUUUUGGGAUAGCCAUAUGACUAGAAAAAUUAUGAGAUUCAUUCACUCAUUCACCCAAUGAAGUGUUUGUUUUUUUUUUUUUUAAGAUUUUAUUUAUUUAUUCAUUAGAGACAGGGAGAGAGAGGCAGAGGGAGAAGCAGGCUUCCCGCGGAGCAGGGAGCCCGAUGCGGGACUCGAUCCCAGGACCCCGAGAUCAUGACCUGAGCCGAAGGCAGACGCCCAACCAUCUGAGCCACCCAGGCGCCCCAUGCCCAAUGAAGUUUUAUGAAUGCUUACUGUAUUCAGUACUUUGUGAAACAGUGAAGAUAUGACUGUGACUUCAAAAAAAUGGUUAUUUGCUCAGGAUCCCCUUCGUAGGAUUGCAUGUCAGUUACACGGACACCUAUUUUAAUGAAUCAUGCUUUAUUCCUAAUAGUUGCCCAGCUUCCAAAUACCUAAUCGAUACAGAAUGUGUCUAUUCCUGGGGAGUCCAUCCUUUUCCAUGAUCUCAGACAUUUGUAGCAUUGUUUGAGGUUCACCGUCUUUUCAUUUGGGGGGAUUGCUGCUGAUAGCACUUCAGACUUCAGUGUCUGUAUAUAUGGAUUCAGAAUAUCUUUGGAAUCUAUUUUUGAAAGUUACAGAGUACAAUAGAUUGCCUAUACCUAAAGAUAUAUAACUACUGUUCUGCUGUAAAUGCUACUUAUUUUGUUUUUUUACUCUUUCUUUCAAUAAGACUUUUUAUGACAUCAUUCCAUAUCAUAAUUGCAUGUUGUUAUUGCAUGCCUACAAAUAUUUACACUAAUUAUGUAAUGAGCCAUAAUUGCACUAAUACAUGAUAAUGGGCUAAAAUCAGUGUAAAUAAACAAGGAAUUCACACAACCAAAAGAGCAGGGUAUUGAAAACCAUUAGUAUUCCAGCAGCAACAUCUUUCUAUCUUUGACCCCUAGAAGAAGGUGAAUUUUUCCACUUCUGGAUAUUUAAAAGCUCUAUAAGCUACACAUUUAGGCUAAUAUACUAGCAUGCUAGCACAUCAAAACUUAUACUGUCUUUGUUCUACCUUCUUUGGCUAACUCUUAGAGGGCGCUUUCAUUGUUUUCCGUUCUUAAGGGUUAGGCCUUCACAGUGUUUACAGAAUCAAGCAAAUGGUCAGUGCAAGGAAAAUGAGAGAAAUUCAAAUGCAAAGGAAAGACAAUGACUUACGUUUUCUUCCACUGUCCUAGUGAAUAUUAAAUCUUAUACAUAAUUGAAUAUCAAAAGGCAGAGGACUCACAGUUACUCCUUGAAUUUCCAUAGGAGAUCCAGGACUUAAGGCAAACUUGCCAAAUUGAAUUCAGCCAUUCUGCGAUUUUUUUUUUUUUUUUUUUUUUGCCAUACUAUGAAGUUACAAUGUAAGUAGGACAAGAGACAUGACAGAAAAAUAAAAACCACCUGGCCUUUAUCUUUAGGUUCAUUUAUACUCCCACUUUACCCAUUCAUUCAUAUGCUUUUGCUUUCAUACAACGAACAUAUUUUUAAGUCCCUCCUUUGUGCCAGGUAGUAGGCAUUCGGGUAGGGUUACAUUUGCGGUGGUGAGUAGCGCAGCCCCAUCUUCAAAUAGCUCAAGGUAUAAUAAAAGAGACAGAUAGAUAAAUUAUAAUGCAAUAGUGUUAGGGUUAAAUUAGAAAUGUGUAUAUGAAAUUAUGAGUGAUCAGAGGAAGAACUCUUUGAAUUGAGGCUUGAAGGCUGAAUGGGAGUUUGCUUGGUAAAACUAACUUCCCAGUCUUUCCCCCAAACCAGCUAGCACUGAUCCAAGAGAGGCAGCCUCCUCAAAAAAAGCAGCCCCAUUCCAUGAUAUCUGCGUCAGGGAAUAGGAUUGGGGAAAUGGUCACUCUCCAGGUUAGUGGAGCAUGAUAAAAUGCCAACUCUACAACAUUUGGAUCUAUUUUUUUGAACAUAAUCAACACCAUAGGACUAUCACUCUUUUAGUCACCAUGUGCUUAGAUACUCCUCCAUCUCUAUAUGCCUGGGCCCAGCUCCUUUAUGGAACAGCUUUUACCAGGCAAAACGAGAGUCUAGCUAAGUGAUGAGGAGAGGUGGCCAUCUAUAGACCAGAGAGCGGUCUCAUGGGGAAGUGCAAAGCUGAUCCAACGUGAGUUCACGUGGAGAUGGGAAGUCAUCAAGCUGCUAAGAGUCUGCUGCCCCAGCAUCAGACUGGGACUGAUGAUAAAGGAAUGACCCAGUUUAAAAAUUAAAAGCAAACAGGGAAAUCUACUGUAUUUCUUUAGAAGGAAAAAAAAAAUACAGAGUCACGUUUUACACAUUGCUAAAUAUAGUAUUGGGGAAAGAAUUUAUACCAAAAAAAGUGCUGAAACACUCAAUUCUAGAAGGAGGGGCACUUGAUAAAUAUGUGAAUUAUGUAAUAUUAUGGUAAAUAUUGUUGAGUGGAUGUUCAAUGUAGCUUCUAUAUUAUUUGUCUAUCUCUGCUUUGCUCAUAAUCCUGUUUCCUAUAACUUUUCACCAUGUUUUGGCUGAAGCUCUUUCCCCUUGUGUGUUGACCCUUUAGAGAUGACAGUUGUUCAGUUUCACAGUAGAAACAUUCGUUUUCCUAAAUUCUUUUUUCAACUGUUCAAGUUUAAAUAUUGGUCUACUUCUAUAUUCUGUUAACAUAGACACUGGAGGGCAUUAGUUUGAUCAGAAUAAACGCCAUUAUAUAACAUUACCAUAAUUUUGAUGCACCAGUAAUACCAAGAAGAACAACCCUUAGUCUUCCCUCCCUUCUUGUAUGCACAGUGAUCUCAAGAAGCCAGGACUCUUGUGUUACUUUCUCUGAUGUGUUGUCUCUUAUGAAUGACCCAAAUAGGUGACAGCACGAAGAACAAUCACAAGACUAACUUGUAAUUUCAUUGCUUAAGAAAUGGUAGCUUUCCAGCCAUUGUGACUGCAUGUUCCCAGGUUGAGGUAGUAGGUUGUAUAGUUUAGAAUUACAUCAAGGGAGAUGACUGUACAGCCUCCUAGCUUUCCUUGGGUCUUGCACAAAGCAACAUGCCGAGAACGAUCACGAUUCCUCCGGGCCUUUUUUUCUAGGAAAGCCUGUGAAAGGUAAGAUUGGGUACAGUUAUUUUACUGGCAUUUUAGAAUUCAGGUUUUAAUUCUUGUACCCAUGCUGUAUUUUCAUGUUCUGUUUCUUUGGGUUGGAUUUUGUUUCACCAAAAACAUGAGCCUUUGAGGGAUUCAGCUUAUCAAUUACCCAUUGUCACAAGAAUGCUGCAUAAUAAACACAAAAGCUCAGUGGCAAACAACAAUAAACAUGUUUAGCUCGUGAGUCUGUGGGUCAGUGACUUAGACUGGGCAGUUUUUCUGGUCUUGGCUGGUCUCAUUCAUUCUGGCUGUCAGCUGUAGGAUGGGGUCACUAGGGUGCUGAGGUAAUUCAGUUUUCUAUGCCCUACAUAGCCCUGUGUCUUCCAACAAACUCUUCCUUGCAUGUUCUCAUGGCGAAGGCAGAGGAGCAAGAACAAGGAAGAGCCAUAAGGCUUAAGUAGGUUGCCAGCUUCUGAUUGCUUUGUGCUUGCUAGUACUUCAUUGGUCAAAGGAAGUCACGUUGACCCAGCCUGGCGCCAGAGUAGGAGGCACUAGGAGGAGGUUUCUUGGCAAAGGGCAAGGAACUCAGGAACACAUCACACUUUCUUAGAGUUCAUCAAAUUGAAAGUAAUUUCGCACCCUCUAUCCUGGGGGGCUCCCAAGAUCAAGAGCCAUGUUUGUGAAUUCACAUUUUGGAUUUGGGGCUGAGCUGGCCUUUGUCUGAAUGUUACAUAUGUCCCUGUUAAUGAGGUGCAUUCCCACCAACUUCUGCGGGAAAAUGCCAAGAGACUGGACUGGUAAUAAUGUGGGGAUUGACUAAAUCAGAAACAAGACUCAGUCAUUCCGUGGUGAUGACUAGUGUCAAGAACGAUGGACACUUUGCCUGACUUAGAGUGAACUUGCACAAUCUGCCCAGAGUAUAUGAGUGGCAAAGCAGCAGUUACUUCGUCACAUUUAUUAUGAGUUUGACAUGAAACAGUUAUUACCUAUAUCUGUGUUGGCUUAGAGUGUGUGUAUUAAACAUCCGUAGCCUCUUGACAUAUAAGGACCUACUUAGUACUGUUCAUACAUUUAUAAAGCUUUUAUUUUUUUAAUCAAGUUAUCUUCCUGUACAAGACAAUAAGAUCUUCUCCUUGCAGUGCCAUAAACUUCAAUGGUUUCAAAUAGCCACGGCUCCCAAGAGGCAAGGAGUAUUUGGGGUCAUGCUUUGAAAACAAACUAACUUUCGCAUGAUUGGAUUUCUACUGACUAGGUAAUAAGGAUGUACCCACCAGAUUUUACAUAAUGCUCUCUUUGCUUCUAGAAUGGCUGUGGUGUCUAGGAGGUUGUAGUGUUGCCAUUUUUCAGCUAGUAGCCCAUGGUAGGACAGUUUGGGAACUGCGAGAAAAAUAAAUUAUGCUGGAGGCCACUUUAGACACAUCUUAGUGUAAGUUAUAGCAGUUCGGGUUGGGUAGAAUAUUCUCCAACAGGAGUCAUUUCUUAUCUUCAUCUUUGGUGAGUAUGUGUUCUCUUUCCUCAAGGGAACUCUUCACUGAACUCUAUGUCUGAUAAUCAUUCUUGGUCCCAGAAACCCUAAAUACACCAUAGUAUAAUACAAAUGACCAUAGUAUCUUCUGAGACUUCAUUUUAGCUAAAAGGAAAAAAUAAAGAGGUACAUGAUGCUACAUUUUAAAAUAUCAUCAAGAAACUAUAAUAUCUAUAUGGGUGGUACAAAUGUUAUUUUAAUUUUUUGGAAUCUGGUAAUUUAAUCCAGCUAUUUUCUAGCACACUGAUAGACUUCAGAACAUAAUGUAUUGCUGGCAUCUUGACCUUCUUCAUCCAUAAAAGAACAUUUCGCUGACAUGAUUUAAGGAGACUCUGGCCAGUUAGAACAGCGAGCUUAUAAACUUUUCUGAACACAGGUCAUUUAUACUUCUUCAUUCGCAUGCAUCAGAUUAUUUUUGACUUUGACUUGGUCUAUUAAUAGAGACAUUUAACUAGUAUGUGAUAACUCCAUUGAUCCCCUUCUUGUUUGGAAGUAUGCACUUCCAGAGAUAUUCUUUGGAAGGACAAACCCUAGCCUUGCCAGAGUUGUCUUUGGUUCAGUGUCUUCUCCCAGCUUUCUGAAGAUCCAGGAAGAAAUGAAUAAACCAAGGUUUUCUUAGUCAACCAAAUAUAUAUUCUCUAAAUACUUAGUACAAGUUUGAACUGCAACACCUUACCUCAUUACCAUUCUUGUCCUACUGUACAAUUUUCCCUUCAUCUCUUGCCCUCCAAAUUCUAACCCCACUGAAAUAUUUGUUUUUCUCUUCUGAGUAGGACCAACCUCUCGUGGUCUUUGCCUUCUGUUUCUCUAACAGUUAUACUUCCAAGUUCCGUUGAAAGCUUCCUUUCAAUAGUGUUUAUCACACUUUAAUUACUAUGAAUCCCCUGAGAUCUUGUUAAAACACAGAUUCUACUUCAGUAAGUCUGGACGAGCCCUAAAAUUCUGCAUUUCUAACCAACACUUAAAUGAAGCUCUUACUGUUGGUGUAGAACAUACUCUUGAGUAGCAAAGUUCUACAUGAUCAACUGCCUCUGAAUCCCAGGAUGUCCAGACUUUUAAGCUGAGGGCAAGAAAUUUGGAGACAGCUUUCCAUCUUUAGAUCAGUACAGCAAUUUCCCCUCUAAUUGUAGUCACAAAGUUUAUCUUUUAAAAAUAUCUUAGUUCCUUUCACCAACAGAACUCAAGAUGCAGGCCUAUGAAAGUUGCAUCUUAGAAAUAGGGACACCGUGACAUUGAGCAUAGUCCUGAAGACUUUUCUGGUUACAGUGAUCAUCCAUUCCACAAAGCAUCCUUGAAUAGCACAUGUAAAGAGAAUUCAGCCGGGGGCAUGAGUGCAGGUAUCAAACAAGGCUCUGCCAUACUCAUCAUUUAAGCUUUCUGACUGUCGGUGUCUAAAUAUAUAAAUCUGUGGACUAGACCCAGAUCAUUUCUGAGGUACCUCUACUGUAGAAUAUCCUGCAAUUCUGCGGCUGUCAUUCAGGAAUCUUAGAUGGCAGUGACUACAAUCUUCUUAGCCUCCGUAUCCUUCUGUUUUCUGACAUGGCGGGGGAUAUUCCCAGUUCUGUCUCCAUGCUGUCAAAGGGACACAAGCACAAUGGUAACGUUUGCAGUUACUGUGACCACAACGAACUGCCAACACUGAAGGCCACAUUAAAGCAAUGGAAAAAGUAGCCUAAGAAAACAGUGACUAUGAAUCCUCUUGGUCCUUCCAUGGUUUGUAGAUCGCUGGGGUAAUAAAAGUAAAUUAAUUUCUGCCUAGUUAAUGUCUAAGAAUGGGGUAUGUUAAAGGACUGAAUAUCAUUUUCCAGUAGAGGUUAUCUCAGUGGUGAACAGAAGGGGGUAUGUGGGAUAUGUGAAAUUCACUACCUCCUUCCCUGGUUCCUGUUUGUGCUCUUUCUAAACAAAAAUUAUGUGCUUCGUGCUCUACCACGAACUGCAGUAUGGAGCACACGAGAGCUUCUGUGGCCCUUUUCAACCCUUUUACAUCAGUCACAGAACUCCCACUGUUCUGUGCUAAUGCAAAAUGCAAUAACGUUUAGCAUCAGGACAUCUCUGAGUCAAGAGGUUAACGGAAAACACAUCUCCCAUUGUGUUCCUGCAGCUCUGAUACCGUUAAUGGCGAAAACACCAUGGAGACAAAUAGAUCUCUCUUUAUUCAGGAAGCUUUGAGUGAAGAGAAAAUAUAUAUGACACCUUUACAACACGAGAGCCCUCUCUAUAUGGUGCAUUAAGGAAGGGUGGAGGAGGAGGGGGCGGUUCAUGCAACAUCAUGUUCGAUAGGGCUUGAGACUCCCCUGGAUGGAAAAUUCUGUCUCCUCCAUUUUCUUUCUGUUGCUUUAGUAAAUAGUUCCAGUUCUGGCAGGGGGAAGUGAGAUUUAACCUUUCAAGGGACAAAUUCAGGGUAAGAGAUUUUAUGGGGUAUUUUCUAAAACGUGGCCAAAUUGCUAUAUGAAGACAUAGCUGCCUCUUUCUUUCCUGUCCUACCUUUGUGCAUAGGUCUUGAUCUGUUGUGUGUUUCAGAUAGAUUGUGUACCAAUAUGUUUAUAAAUGGGAACCAAGGCAAAAAAAAAAAAAUCAACACAUUAUAAUUUUGCUGAGAUUUCACUUGAAAAUUACCCAAAAGUAGGCUGUGCAUUUUGUAUGGUCAUAUAAAGGUCAUAUGGAAACAUAUUUUUAUGGUCUUAUUUUCCAUUCAUUUGAGAGUAUCCCUCAGGGAAAUCUUAGUCAAGGUCACUUCUUGUUCCUAUAGUACAUUCUUUCCCCAGUUUUAUUGAGAUAUAAUUGACAUACAGCACUGUAGAAGUUGAAGGCAUACAGCAUAAUGGUUUGGCUUACACAUAUUAUAAAAUGAUUACAGUAAUAAGUUUAGUUAGCAUUUGUUGUCUCCUAUAGCUAUAAUAAAAAGAAAAAGCGAAAAAAGAAAAAAAGAAAAAACAAUCUCCUUGUGUUGAGAACCCUAUAGAACUGUAAAAAGAAAUUUGCUGUGUAGUUUGUGAAUUGUCAUCAGAAGCUAAAAUUCGGAUGCUCCAUUUCUUGAGGAUUUAAAGACUUUUCAUUCUGUGGUAAAAAAAAAAAAAGUUCUGGUUCAGGAAUCCAUUUGAGGGGUUAUCUGCGCAGUUUAGGCGCACCAAAUAAUUAUCAAAUGUUCUGUGUUAUGUAUAGUCUUUGAAACAUUUGGAGGGAGGGUAUACAUUAUUGAUCACCACCCAAUCCUGUCAGAUGACCACACCGGCUUUGGUGGGGGGUGGGGUGGCGGGAAAGAACAGCAUGUGCGUUCAGCUUUUACACUGAACUGGGAAUUUUUAGACCUGUUUCCCAGCCAGGCUGAUACAUUACAAUACUAGUACUCUAAUUGUUGAUUCAGUUGCAUCAAGGGCAGCCAAAUUUCAUGUAUAAAAGUUCACCAAGUCCAGGAAGGAGGGAAAGGAAUUCCAGAAUGACUCAUUGUUUAAUGAAUAAGGCCCCAAGUGUUCUGCGGUUGCCAUUUUUAAACUUGAAUAAAAUGUAUAGAAUUCAAAUCAUAGCUUGAAUUCCAAAUUGGGGCAGAUCAUGCUCAAUGGUGAGGCUACAGUGUUAUACCAAUAUGCUGCUUCUAGUCAACUGCUAAUAAGCAACUUCAAAACAUAAAUGGGGCAAUCAUGAUGUGUGCUCUGAAUCCUCUAAAGGUUUAAAAGUCUUUUAAUCUAUUUGUAGCUUUUUAUUAUUGAGUAAUGAAGCUCUGCUAAAAUGCUAGAACCAAUAUGCAAAACACAUAUUAAAUCAAGCAUAAAACUCAAGGAGAAUAGAUCCCCGAAGACUGAACAGAAAGGUACAAAAUGAAUUUAUGGGAAGUAAGCUUUGGUUGAGGGUGGGAGGAAGAGUAAACUUUUUAUUACCUUUCAUGACUAAGAAACAGAAUUUUCUGGUUAAUCAAUAGGGUUUUUAUCAAAAUCGUCAUAUAUAAUAGACACGAAUGACCAGUUUAAAAAAAAUAAAGAUUAUAUUUUGCUUAAAGCUAAGAUUGUUCUGUAUACAAUGUAAUAUUUCUUUCAGAUUUAUAAGUUAUUUCAUGUCUCAGCACACCUUCUGCCUACAAUUUAUCUUUAAUCUCAAUUAGUCUCCUAGCUCAUGCUUUGAAAUUACCUUGUGCUUCUAGAUCAGGACUAUCAAGCUAAAUUGAUGUAUAGUUAGGUGAUGUGUGGAAAUGCCAGUUGUGGGCCUCAGCGUGGCAGAAUACUGGUUAAACUAGAGUUUACCAUUUAUGUCCUACGGCUUAAGUUGGAAACUCAAAUUAAUAUUGACUGUGAUCUCAUCUAACAGAAAAGUGCCAAAAUAUUCUGUUGUCAAUUAAACCCUACCAUUCACCGAUCUACCAAAAUAUCUCCUUCUGAAUACAGCACAUACGUUAUCCUGUGAACUUGUGUGGUUCUAAGUUUAGCCAGCUCUGUUGGCUCUUCUCUGCCUUGCCAGAUCUUCCCUCUACCUUUGUUCAUCCUGUUCUGUGCUCUCAAAGACUGUUAAUCAGGGGCUGCCUCAACAGUCCCUUUGGCCCUCUGGCUUCUAAUUGUGUUUGGCCAAGGGGAGGCACCAGCAGGAGACCCCGGGAAAGUGGAGGUAGAGGUCCGAUACGUAAUCCCCCUGACAGUCUUCCUGUAGGCCAUGGGUUGACCUGGCUUCAUUCCCUACUGAAGAUGGUGGCCACCCUGACAGUUCUAGGUCUCUUCUAGCUUCUGAUAACCAGCCCCCCACACCUUGUUCCCUCACACCUAGGCUUGGUAAUGACUUUCCCCUGCUAUUAGUACUUGGACAUUUACACGUCUUAAUGUCUGUCUUAACUCUGCCCAAUCUUCGAAAAUAAUCCUUUCAUUGAACUUCCCUCAGUUUCCCCAUCUCAGUGUGCUACUUUCUUGUCUGGACUCUGAUUUUCUAGUUCAAGUUAACAUAAGCUAGAUAACAGAAAUUAGUCACUCACUUUCCAUCCUGUGUGGGAGUUGAGGGAUGGGGGAGUAGAUAUUUAUCUUUUCCGUAAUACUAUAAGCUCUGGAAGGGCAGGAACCAUAUCUAAUACCUCCUUUAUAAUUCUUCACAACACCUGCAAAGGGCUUAGCUCACAGUGCAUGCUCAGUGCUCAUGGAGAGUCUUACUGAGUUCCUCUGAAAUCCUCAAAUUUGUUACAGGCUUAAAUGGAAUGUAAGCGCUUGACUUAGGAUGUAGACUUCAAGAAGUCAAGGACCACACUAUUUUUUAAAACAGCAUUUAUAAUAUAAUCUCCCAUGACGCAAAUAUCAAACCCACUCUGGAAACCCUAACUCCAUAAAAACAGAAGAUUUACAUCAUGGGUUAGGUUGGUUUGUGUUUAGUAGAUGAGACAUAAUUCUACUUAAAAUGUUCAGAUCUCAUUUUCCUUUUACAUUACCUACUAACCCUCUACUAUACGUUAGUUUUCCUAUUUGUGCUAUUUUUUAUGUAUUUAUUUAUAUGACUUUCUCCAUAGAAAUGGUGUCAAUACUAAAGAGUAGCAUUGACAAUUUUCUGAAUAUAAUCUGGGUGGAGGGAACGUAGAGGGUGUGUCUAAAAUAAGGAUUUAAGAACUGCAGAACAAAGGGAAUGGUUACCAGAAUAGGUAUCUUCACUAUUUCUUUGGGGUUCCUAUUACUGAUUUGCUCCUUGACUUUUGCCAUCAUGCCAAACCUCUCCGUACUUUAAAUUUUGAAAUUACUCCCAACUUCAGGAAAUGUAGCAACUGGGAACGGAAAACACUUUGAUUUCUAAAGUAGUCAGUUGCUACUGUAUCCUCGUGUGUUGUAUUUAUUUCCCACUUUGAGCAAAUCAGUGUUUUAAUAUCUUCUUGCUCUGAAACUGGUGAAAAUAGAUUAGGAAAAAGUUACGAAGAACUUGCCUUUUGACUUUCUUUACUGAAAGGAAACCGCCUGGCUAGUUCAAAGAGCAGAUGCCUUACUGUUCAUAUUUUGCAAACAAGAUCAUUUCUUCAACAAAUGGAGGCAGCUGGAACAUGGUCAACUCAGAUAAGUGAAGCUUUGUGUGUCUCUCUGAUAAGUGAAACUGUUUAAUGAUAAUUUUACUCGUCCACUUGGGAAGUGACCAAAGCACUAUUAGAUAAGUUAAAAUUUUUAAAAAGCGUGGAAAAUACUUUUGCCAACUGUUUCUUCUUGGCCUCUUGGCAAAGAUCAACAGUUACAUUCCCUAUCUAGGGACUAUCUCUUGUGGGCCAGACCGGAUGAUCUAAUAGGUCUUUAUAAUCUCUAAAUACUGUGACUUUUAUCCCCAAGUGAACUACAUAGUUUAUUUACAUAGAAACACAUUCACAGGCUUAAGGAAAUGCAGUAUGACUAAUGCUAAGGAAAGUGAGCCAGAAUGACUCAAGUGACUUCUUUUUUUCUAAAUAGGAUAAGUAAAUUAAAAUCAUAGACAUUCCCUCUAGUUCCUUCCAGCAUCUCAAUAUGUAGAUUUUAGAUGUCAGAAUUCCCCAGUAGUGAAUUAUUUUUCUGCCACCAGCAAAUUAUAAACAUGUUGUCCUGUUAAAUCAGUAAACCUUUGCUGUACUUAUCAAGAAAACUCUUCAAUGGAGAUUGCGUUUAAUUGUUGUUCUAAUUUUACAUUCUAUCCUAGGCACAUGGGAAAUUAAAAAUGUUGGGAAUGAUAGAAAAAUAAAAAUUGCUAGAAAAAUACAAGCAUGAUAAAUAAAGCAUAAUCACUGUGCAUUUCAACUUUAUUAAGAAUGUGUUUUUGUGCCUUGGGCUACAUUUAUCGAGACAAAUGAAGCAUUGGGAGGAAUCUCAAUUUUUUAAUAAAAAAAUUGUUUCCUCGGGAUUGUGUUGGCAAAGACAAUGUUUUUAAGGAGUCUUUUUCUUUCCCCUCUGUGUUGUACAAAUGUUUUAUGCUUUCUACAUCAGGUGAUACUUUGAAUUGUCUAUUUGGGAUUAAACAUCAAAUGGUUUUAUUGUUGUUGUUGACUUUUUUUUUAAUCAGAUCUCCUCCAUACAUGACAUUGGGUCUCCUUAAGAAUAAAUACAGGGACAGUCAAGAGAUCUUAUUUCCAGAGGACUUAGAGCUUCUCAGCUGAUUACUUGCCCAACUUACUUGGCAUACACAGGUUUAAAAGAAUGUGGUUAAGAGAUAACAAAUAAGAAGGCAGAUGACAAAACCCUAGUAUUACCCAUGAAUUGUGUUCCUAAGCCAAUUGGGUAAGCUUCAGGCCAUUUAUUUUAAGAGGAGGUGUCUGGAUGCUGAUCCUUUCUGAUAAAAAUUGUCGUAGUGAGGCAUUCCAUCUGGGGGCUUGAUGAUCAGUCCCUUCUAUGGUGCUUUCUGCUUCCCUAGUCCUGAUUUAUCAUUUGAAAGUCCGUUCUAGUUCAACACUGAGGAGAAAGGCCAUAUAAAUACAAUGCAUUACUUUCUGACAUCCUGUAACAGGGCACAAUUGAUUAUGUUGCUUAUCCUUAAAUGAAAGCAUUUCUUAAAAGAUAAUUUUUCUACGGGCUCUCUUGGAGUAUAUGCUACAAGUUCCAGUAAGUCACUCCCAACCCCUACUGUGUCAAGUGAAGACAUCUCUCAGGUCACUUCCCACAAUAAAUUCAAUAUGAAGUGUCACGUGUAUGCCUCAUCCUGCAGUCUUAAGGUUUAAGGGAGAGUAUCACCCUCCUCAGCUCCUUUUACUAACUUAUCUCAGUUUGGUGUCUCAUCACACUCUACCAUGAUUUAUCUUCCAUUUCAAUUACUUUCAUUGCUCAUGCUUUGAAAUUACCCGAAAACUCAGAUCCCCGCUGAGGGCCGGGUUCAUGUUUGAGGAUACGUUUGUUUUGACUGUUUGUGUCCUCCUAAGUCGAGCUCAAAGGUCACCUUCUCCCUUUCUGUUUGCCUCUCACCUCCCUCAGUCAGCUCUUCCUUUUGUGCUCACAUAACACUUUGUUCAAACAGCUAGCAUAUCAUUAGAUGAGUGUUAUACAUGUCUGUUUUACUGAGAGCUUUAGUGAAUUCUUUGAUGGGACGGACACCAUUUCAAUCAUCCUUUUAUUCCCAAGCUGACACAUAAUAGUUGCUUAAUAAGUGUUGGCUCACUUGAACCAGAUUUUCUUUCAGUAAACAAUUUUGACAGGCCUGUGAUUUAGGAAAUGUGAAACUCAGCUAACAUUUGCACCCCACGUUUAAGUUCCGUAUUGUAUUCUGUAGCAUCUACAGGCUUUUCUCCUUUCAUUCUGCUAUUGUUUCAGGGCACAAGAUUGGAUCUGAAAUAGAUUUAACAGCCAAGUGAAAAUAGGACACCGUUGAGGCUUGGCUUUUUGAAAAAGUUUUCUUAGGCUAUUGGGAGUUCCCAGAAAUUCAGAGGUUUGGUCAACUGUGGAUACAUUGAAUAAGGCCUGAAGAGAAAUAUUUUAUGCUUAUCAGAACAGAAUUGAUCAGAAAUUGUAUUACUCACAUGCAAUUUCCCUGCAAUGGGAUGAAACUUACUGGGGAGGAAAUCUCCCUUGAUGAAAUCUACCCUUUUCUGCAUUGUUUAUUGAGUGUAGAUAAAACCACAUUGGUCAUGAAGAUGAUGAAUGGCUUUGCUUUGAUGUGACUAAGCUUCCCCAGUUGUCAUAGCUUCCUACUGAGCCACAUUUCUACUAUAGUUUUUGAAGUUUUUUUAAACUGAGGAAUAUAUUUUACCAUGGUGGUGGUAGUGAUAGUAAUGAUGGUAAUUUGUUCCAUUAGUAUUUGUUGUGCAAACGGAAUAGACAGUGAGUACUGAGUUCCUUUCUUCACUUAUCAAAAUUAAAAAGUCCUUCCAAUUAAGUGAGUUACUAUUACAGUAUCAACUGCGUCUAGCAAUGUUUGUUCAAUUUAAGAAUUCAUUAAAUACAUUUUGUUCGUAUGUUACCUUUUAUUUUUGAAUCCCAGGAAGGAAAUAAAUACAUCUCUCUGAAAAGAUUUCAGUACAACCCUGCCCAGAGAGUUAAUGUUACAAUAGUCAACUCAUUGGUUUUCCCAAUCAAUUUCAUUUCACUUUAUCAAAUAAUUGUUAAUUUACUGUUCUUGUGUUCUCUUUUCCUCUGUCUCUCUCAAAUUUUAAUUUAUCAAUGAUUACUAUCAAUAAUUGAUCAAUAAUUAACAUCAAUAAUAUCGGCCAUUAACAAUGUAUUGUAUCUGCUCAAUUUUCUCUGUUGUACUUGGAUUUUAUAUAUAUAUAUAAUAUAUAUCCAUUAAUAUUAUUAUAUUAUUAAUAUAUAUAAAAUCCAUUCAGUCGUUAAAUAGUACAUUACUGAGCAUUUAUGCUGGGUGCUAUGGUAAAGGCAAGAUAGAUAUGAUAUUUCUGCCUUCAAAGAUCUUGAAAUGUAGUGAAGGGAAUAAAAUAAUUACAAGAUGAUUACUUCACAAAUACAAAUGCAUUAACUGCAAUUCCAAAGGGCUACGGUGAGUCAGAGGAAGAGGAUAUUUCCAAAUGCAGAAUUGGAGCAGGCUUCAUGAAAGAGAUGUAUUUUGAGUUGGGGCUUGAAGAAUGGGUUGGAUUUCAAGGGACAGAGACUGGGGACAAAAUAUGCCUGUUGAAGGAAGAAGCAUGAAGAAGGGGCUUGAUUAGCAAGGAGGACCUAUUUGGGAAUGGAAAUAGUCCAUUUGGGUUUAGACAAAUUAGAAGAAAAGACUUUACAAGUAAUCUGAAAUCAGUUCAUAGAGGGAUUUGAAUGCCACGUAAAGGUGUUUGGAGUUUUGCCAGGUGUAGCUAUGGGGAGCAGGUAGGUUGAUUAACUGUCUACUUUAAAAUGAUUAAUUAGCAUAUAAAGUGGACAGGACGGGAUGUGGGGAGACUAGUUAAGAACUUAUAGACUCAGGUGAUCCCCGUAUCAGUCUGAACUAGAGCGUUGGCCACGUGUGUAGAAAGGAGGACAGAAUAAGGACAACAGGGUUUCAACAGUAGAAGAAUCAGAAUAAGGACAACAAAUACUUGCUGAAGGCUGAUUAAGUAAAUUGAUUUAUUUUGGACUUAAGCAGUAUGAUCUUGUGCAUUUUUACAGCAAUAUCCGGCAGGCCAGGGAUAGAAGCAGGGGAAACAAAUGGGAAUCACUCAAGAUCAUAGUUUGGAAAAUGGAAAGCUGUAAAAGGUCAGAAGAUAAUAGAUCUGGGGUUCUAGUGAAAGCAUCAUUGAAAUGACUUCACAAAAGUUACUGACCAAAUGGAGAUAAAGUUGAAGUACAGCUAGAAGAAAGUGAUGAGCUGGGGGGAUCCAAAGGAAUUUUGAGUUUCUAUGUCACAAAUAGAAAUCAAAUGCGUCCAGUACAAGGGAGGACUGGGUAGGCAAUAAAUGUAGAGAUUUCCUGAGGGUGGAGCCGAUUCUGGGGAUGAGGAAGCUCAGGUUGUGGCCAUCUGUAUGGUGGACUACACUGGAAAUGAAAGGAGAUUAAUGUCAUUGGACUGGAUGAGGUCAGGGUACCGGAAAGGCCCUCAGACAGCAUGGAGGAAAAGAUUGUAACUGAGACAGAACUAAAUUAUAGAAUUGAAACACCCCCACACGGAAUGAAAGUCCAGAGACCAAUGUUCAUGAACUGUCUCCAUCACGAAGAAAACUGUGAUAUGAAAACCGGACAAGUCUUAGUGAAGGAGCCCCAUUCUUGCCACUGGGCUCCGAUACGUAGCGAAUCCUCAGGCACUUUCUAAUUUUUCAGGAGUUCCAUUUGUCAUUUCAAAUGCAAGUAAUGUACUUAUUCCCUUAUUCACUUAAGGCAAAGGUACCCUAAGUUCACAAUCACUGGAUACGUUUAAGGGCGCAAUCAAUACUCAUUUAUGAAUUCCAUAUUUUCAAAUUUGCCAACUCGCUAAAAAGAAUUUAUAUACCCAAAUGAAUAAUGGCAGUGCUUUUUUGGUCAUUUGCAGACAUGCACAGAGCAUUGAAAAUUUAUGUCACCUAAUUCACGCGUUCCCAGCUGCGGUCAAACAAGGUGAUAUUCUGCCUUCUUGUUUCGGCUCUCAUCCUGUGUCCUUUUCGAGGUCCAUUUAGUGCCACAUUUUUCACAGCUUUGCACUUUUUUUGUUGAUGAUUUCAUCAUUUAAAAUGGCCCCCAAGUGUAAUGCGGAAGUGCUGGCUAGUUCCUAAGCACAAAGAACUGUCAUGUGCCUUAUGGAGAAAAUACAUGUGUUAGAUAAGCUUCAUUCAGGCAGGAGUUAUAGCUGUUGGCUGUGAGUUCAAUGUUAAUGACUCAACAAUAUAUAUUAAAUAAGGUGUCUUUAAACAGAAACACACAUAAAUCAAGGUUGUGUAUUGAUGAGUUGAUGAAAACAUGACCAGAGGCUUGCAGGAAACGCUCCCUGUAUUUCCCCUGGGAGCAGCCCUUCGGUAUUCACUUCAGUAUUCAGUGUUUGUGGCAACUCUGUAGACGUAACUACCGCAAAUAACGAGAAUCGACUAUACUUGUUUGUUUGGGUUAAAGGUAGUUGUUUAGUUUUAGUUGUUUAGAUCACUCAAAUUCUUCAUCACUAAUGACCACUUCCUCUUCAAAGUGUAUAAACUUUGCAUAGGUACCAUUCUCUUGUUAAUUGGUUGAUGAAAACCAAAAGAUGAUUUAGUUAAAUUUUUAUUUUAAAGGAAUUUUAGACUUACAGACAACUUAAAAAAUAAUUGUACAGUGUUCAUCUAAAUUUCCCUAAUGUUAACAUUUUUAUAACCAUUGUAUAAUGAUCAAAACUGGGAAAUUGACAUUGUUAUAAUGCUACUAACUAAUCCCCAGACUCUAUUAGAAUUUCUCAACUUUUACCUCUAAAUGCCCUUUUUUUGGUCCAAGGUCCAACCCAGAACCUUACAUUGCACUCAGUGUCAUGUUUCCUGCCUCUUUCAGUUUGUGACAGUUCUUCAGUCUUUCUUUGUCUUCCACGACCCAGACACUUCUAGUGAUUACUACUGGUCAGAUAUUUUGUAGACUAUCCCUGAGUUUGGAUUAACAUGGUUUUUCUGAUGAUGAGAUUGUGGCUACUUAUUUUUGGCAAGAAUUCCACAGAAGAGAUGAUGACAUCAUAUCUGGGUCAAUGAUGUUAAUAUGUCGUCUUACUGGUGAUGUUACUUUUGAUCACUUGAUUAAGGUAGUGUCUGCCAUGUUUCUUCACUAUAAAGUUACUGUUUUUCUCUUUGUAAUAAGAAGAUGGUUUUUUUUUUUAAUGUUAAAAUUUUCUACUAUUUUUAAAUAGUAUCCUUUUGUUCACUGGGAACUGACAGUCUAGUUGGGGAGAUACAGAUGGCACUCAUUAAACAACACUAUACAAAGAAAGAUAUGGAGAAGUACAUUGUGGCAAAUGGUAUGGCACAGAAUAUAUAGGAGUAGGGAAGUAAUCUUGUGGAAAGUGGGAAUGCGUGCUGGACUUUGAAGGGUGGUAGGACUUUUCAAGGUAGAAAUUUAUAAUGCAGUUAAUUCAGUACAAUAUUUUGAGUACCUUAGUUCCUUGGGAACUAUGCUAGAAGCCAGGAAUAUAGAGAUAAAAAACAAUUCCUAACUUCAAGGAGUUCCCACUCUAGUGAGAAGGAUGGAGGUGUCUGACUGGAGACCAUAUACAAUCAGUAUUGUACAGAGACAGGUGAGCAGAGGGUAUUAUGGGUGUGGGAGGAACAACACCACACUGUAGUGGCUCAAAGUCAACAAUCUUCAGGUUGUCUAGACUCUCCACACUCUAAGAAUGCCAAAAAAAAGUAUGUUCCUGUGUUGAUGUCACUCAGUCUAUACUUGAACACUUUGAGUCACAAGAAGUUAACUUCUCGAUACAUCUUAUUCCCCCAGUGGGUCUAGUUCCUCCCUCUGUUGCUGCAGGGAAUAAUUCUACUCCCUGGUUUUUUGGGUUGUUUUGUUUUGUUUUAGGAUAGUCCUAAAAGAAGAGAUAUUACAUCUUUUCUUAAUGUCCUCUUUUCAAGAGAAAUAUGAAUAAAUCUACAUACUAUAUCUGAUUUCUAGAUCCUUCACAAUUCAGCCUGUUGGCUUGGUUUGUUUCCCUUAUAAAUAGUCCAUUCCCCUGCACCCUAGUCCUCACCUUCAUCCUGAUCUCCUCCCCUGGAAAUAUUUUAAAAUAAUUGUUCUAUGAAGUCCCCCCCCCCACCCAGUUCAGUUGGAGUUUUGAACCUAGCAUUCAAAAUGUAUUUAUUUCUGUCAUAUUUGGUGCUCUUCAUUUGACCUCUUGUGGGAGUUCUCUUUGAACUUUGAUCUUGUUGUCUGGCAUAGCUUUUCUUUCCCCUCCCUUUUAAUGUCUGAAGAUUUGAUAAGAAUAUAAUCUAUUUUUAUCCAAGAAUUUAAUAGGAUAAACAAGACAGGGUCAAGAACAGAGCUCUUGGACAAACCAUGUAUGUCUGAUCGUUUCACAACAUGGAAAGCUCCCACCUGUACUCUCAUGCAGCUUCCAUGUCUCCCUCUGUAGGGAACGCUUGGUAAGGGAAGAGCAGGCCAUGCUCAUUGACAGUGUUGAGCCUGACCCAACUAGAGCCCAACGGAGCAUGUUGGCCAGCAGUUUCAAAUCAGGUUAUACUUCCAAGAAGAUAGGUUAUAGUAUGUCAUAUCCUAAAAGCCAGGAAGCAUCACUAUGGCUAAUGACAAUAAUUCUCCAGUGUUAUACUGCCUGUGGGGUUUUCUCACAUGCAAGGUCUUAUAGAUAUGAAAUGGCUUAAGUUGUCAGUGAAGACUUUGGGUUAGGAAAUGAUAAAAUAAAAGCAAAAUUUAAAGCAGAGUAUGGGGGCACUUGGGUGGCUCAGUCGGUUAAGCAUCUGCCUUCGGCUCAAGUCAUGAUCCUGGGGACCCAGAAUUGAGCCCCACAUAGGACUCCCUGCUCAACAGGGAGUCUGCUUCUCCCUCUGCCCCUUCCCCCACUCGUACACACUCUCUCUCUCUCACUCUCUUUCUCAAGUAAAUAAAUAAAAUCUUAAAAAAAAAUAAAACAGAGUAUGUAUUCUGUUAAUGGAACUCCAGAUGGACUGGAGGGGGAAGGAACAGAAGAGAGGCAGGCCAGUAGGGAAAAUGCUGGAGUUAUCCAGGAGGUGAGGAGGUGAAGAACUUAGUCAAAGACAGCAGUGAAAAGUGGAGGGAAAGGAAGAGAUAAAAGACACAUGUCCACAGAAAAGCAAUAGACUUUAUAACUUUUGUAAAAAUGGACUUGGGGAGGGUGGGGGAGGGGCAAAUCAAAGAUAACUUACACAUUCUAAAUCUGGAAGAACAAUGGCUCAGUAGAUGGGGGGGGAAGGAAUCAGAAUGGGGAAUCCUGUUUAGCUGAGGUUGGUUUUCCUGUUUUUGUGUGACUCAGUGGUGAUGAGAGACAAGAGUAUCCCAGAGGGGAGCCUAAGACUAUAAAGUUGUCAUCCAUUAGCAGAGAGAGAAGGGUUUCUGUGGAAUACCAUGUUCAAGUAGAAACUUAAACAGCUUCCUUUGUGGUGUGGCAGAAUCAUAGAAUUACAGCAGUAGUCAACACCCCCUUGGUUUUCUGGCUCAUAGGUGGAUUAUUGCAAAAGUAGUAAGUAUUGUUUCUGAUUGAAUCAAGGAUCUCUUAACUUUGCCGAUCCUCUUAAUAUGUUGCAAAUGGCAAAUGUGGUUAUGAAAAUCUUGGAAAUGGAGGUUGGCUAAGACAGAUUAUGUCCACAUCAUAGAAUGAGUCAUAGGAAUAAAAUCUUGGAAAUCCUAUUCCUUAACCAUCAGCAAAUAUUCUAACAAAGCUAUCUACCUACUUCUAAAUAGAACAUUCUGCUUUUCUUCUUUCAAGGAAUGUUCAUUUUGUAGUCUCUCUACACCCACUAAAAAAUGAGUGCAAAAAGAGAAUGAAAAAAAUUAACUUUAAGCCCCAUUAAUCAGAGAAGAGCCCGUUAUUAAGCUCUUGUUCAUCGUCGUCACCAGACAUUCAUUAAGCACCUGACAGCACUUAUGCAUGGGGCAAAAGUCACACAGGCUGGCCUUCCCUGGCCAUGUAGACCCUACAUGCAAGAGCAAAAGAGAAAAAAAUGUACAACGGCCACAUAAAAGUGUUAAAUCAGCCCCUCUUCAAUGAUGUUAGCAAUUCCUCACCUACCCUAUUUUAUCAAGGAACAAAGUCCUCCAUGUUAGUAAAUGUUUAUAAGAAUAAAAGCUAUCUAGCAGUCAUCACAACACUUCAGCCUUCUUAGCCUUUCCAAACAGUUUUCUGCCCCUAACCCACUUGGUGGCUAAGGGUCACCUUAGGAUACGAGCAUUGUUGAUUCUGUGCUCUCAUAAAGUCUUUCCUUGCUUUUUGCUUCUUGGUCAUCUUCGUAUUCAUGGUUGGCAGUUGUCUCUCCUUGGUCUGCUUGUGCUUGCCUUCCACUGCUCCCCCGUGUCACUUAGAACCUGUUUCUCUAAAACAUAGUCAGGCCUGGCGAAGGAGUUAACCAAGAUCGAGGGAAAUGAUAAGUGAAAAGAGUCAAUAUACAGUUCUGAGUGGGGCUUUAAAAUAAAGGCAUAGAGUAUUGUGGAGACAUUCAGCUUGCUAUGUUGAGUGUCCAAAAGCAGUGAGAUCUGCUCACUGCUGUAGGCUGGGCGCUAGGAGGUUGAGGUUGAAGAAAUACUGACCUCAGGAUCGGGGAGCAGAGUGUGUUGCUCUAUUUAUAGUAUAGAUUAUUAGGUCACAAGUCAGUACAUAUUUUAGGGGUGGAAAGUGAAGUCUCGUGUCUGGAAAGUGGAGAAAUUAUAAACUUUCCUGUAAUCAAUCACAUGCAAUAAAAUAUUAGCUUACUGUGGGAUUAUAAAAAUAAAGAUAAAUAUGAUAUUCCCAUCUUGGGUGACUCCUCCCAAAUACACACCUAUACAUACACCAUUUUGUUCAUUUCACUGGUGGCCAUUUUUAUUAAAACUGAGUAAGGUGGUGUUCAUUCACUAAUGGGAAUACUGUCAUUUUCAGUGCUUCUGAAGAGUAUUGUCCCUACUGACCAUGGAACAAUGCCCUGAGCACCAAGCGCUGAAGAGUAAGCUAGACACAAAACCCUUGGGUAGAUGGAAAAAAGAAACAGUCACUUUGAAGAUCACAACUGUGUUCUAUUAUCGAAAGAUUAAGAAGUACCAUGAUUAGCUCAGAGCUUUAGGUUUUGUGUUAAGCUUUUGUGUUAUUUGUGAGUCCCUAGAAGUAUCCGGGUGGGCUUUUCAUGUGUCAGGUGAAUAUGUAGCAUUCUUUUCUUUCUUUGCUAUUUUUAGGUUUUUCUAAGAAUGAACAUGAAGCCAUACUCUUCCUUCUCAUACUGUUUUAGAGGAAAAAUAUUUUAAGUUUUAAAGUUUAUGAUGAUUUCUAGAUGGGCUACUUUCAACCGAUACAGAAAUAGUUUGAUUACAGCCAUCAUUUAAAUUCUCUUUAGUAAUAUCAAUAUUAAGAGAAUCUGUUAUGCUUGCAAAUUAGAAUAGUGUUUGUAUCUCCAGUGGUGGCCUCGUUAUUUCUCUUCAGUAGAUCUGUGCAGAGUACCUGAAAACACAGUAUUCCCAUUUUAUACAUGGUUAAACUGGAACCCAUGGAGGACUAAAGACCCAGGGUCAUGCUGGGAUAUGGACAGCAUGAGAACGGGGCUAUCUGGAAGGAACGGGACCAGAAGUUCAAAUAAGCAGGAAGGGUUUGGUGACAGCAGACUAAGGUUCAAGUACAGAGCAGUAAUUUACAAAAGAGGAACAAGUUGAAGCAAAUAGUCUUAGAUUUUAAAGGUCAGGUGACAAAUGGGGAUAUAUUAACAAGCAAAACUGAAAAUUGGCUAUAGGAAUAGAAGGUUUCCUGUCUGCUCACUCUCACAGGGCUUGCUGGCAUGGGUGGCUCUAAGGCCUCAGAGUUCAGCCACAGCCAGGCAGAAGUCCAAAGAAGAAUCCUGCCCCUCAAUGAGACAAGAACAGAGAAACACAGAUUGCCUCAUAGUUGGUUCUAUUUAAGUGGCACCCUGAAACUGAACUUCUCUUUCUAAGUUCAUUGCACAAUUUCUUCCAUAAACUUAUGAUAUUUGAAAAGCCUUUUUCUUAAUCUUAGCAAAAUGAUUUCAGGAAACUUUGGGAGAAUUCAGUUCUAAAUAGGAUCCCACUAAACCAUGAGAAGAAACAACUUCCGAGAGAGCUUUUUAGAAUAGUUUCCCGGUACCUGAUACAACAUUGAUGCAGAUAUUCCAGUAUCUGGAUCUAACUUUGCAUUAUCCAGGACAGGAGGCCAUCAAACUCUAUCUGUAAAAGGCCAGAGCAUAAAUAUUCUAGGCUCUGUGCACCAACUGGUCUCUGUUGCAGCCACUGCCCUCUGCCAUUGUGGUGAGAAUGCAGCCAUGGACAAGAACAAGUGGGAGCAAGCGGAUUUCAGGACAACACACAGCAGGAUGGAUGUGGCUCAAGGGCUGUAGCUUGCUGACCCCUAAACUAAAAGAAAGAAAUUUGUUUACCAACAAAAGUGUAUUAAAAAGCAAACCCCCUCAAACUCAUGAAGAGUUUUUCACCAGUGUGCCACAGAACACAACACGGAGAAAUAACAAGGCUCAUCUGAGGUCUUUGAGCCCAGACCUCCUCAACGAAUAUAACUGCUCUCCUCUGUCACUUGCCAUUUUGGGCCAACAUUUGUAUGAAUCAAUCAGUCUUUGAAAAUGUGAUCAGAUUAUCCGUUUCAUUUCUGGGGAGAGGGGUGCCUGUGUUCUUUUACUAAAUGUGUCUGGUUCCUUCUUAAAGACCAUCUUCUAGCAAUUUUCCCUUUCUGAGCGACUGGAUUAAGGAGCCUCCUUCUGCCUUGAUUUUCCGUCGUCAGUCAAGUGCCCUUUCUGUAUCUUUUAUUCUAGUUACUCCUUGAAACCUUGAGACCGGGACCACAUUUACCCAUCUUUGUUUAUCUUUUGUGUGUUUGGGUUUUGUUUAGACAAUAGUCUGCUCUCCAUUGACUGCAUUCCUUGAAAACAGUGGCAUAGAAAAUCUAGAAACAAUGCAGAAGCCCCAAGUCACUUCUAUUUUGGAAUGCUUUAUGUGAUUUUUUUUUUUUUUUUUUUUUUUUUGGUGAGGAACAUAUUUACUUUGGUAAUUGUAUCCUGCCUAACCUAAUAUUAAAAUCAACUCUAAUUUCUGGAGUAUUUCAUUGACCGGAGUGACAUAGAAGUGUGUCUCUGAUUAAGAAAAUCAUUGGACGUGGAUAAUACUUCUGCACAUAAUAAGAGAUUUGAGUAUAUGAACAACCAAAUAACAGCUGGUAUGUCCAUCAACAAAUAUGUUUGGAAGCCCCACUAUUUGUCAUAGAUAUAGAACAUGUACUGAAAUUUUGUUAGGUACUAUCGUAGGUAUUCUCUGAACCUUUCCAACAACUGUAUUAUGGGGAUGUUGUUAUUUUUAUUUUGCAGUUUAGGCUUUGAGAGGUAAAAUGACUUCCGGGUCCUCAGAAGGAUACCUGAUUGGGAUUUGUACUUAGUUUUCUGAUGGUCGAUCUAACACUCUCUAAACAGCUACCUGUGGAUAUAUACUGAAUAACGCUUUGCAACUCAGAAACAUCAUUGCCCUCCUUAUUUCUGGACACUGCGAGGGCCAUAGAUAUAAUACAAGACAGGGUUGCUGCCCGGAGGGCAUUUGUGAACUAUUUUCCGUGAUAAGGCAUGCAUGUAUUUAUGCUUUGUUCCUAUGCUUCUCUCUGCAUGCCCCAUCUUCCCCCAUCCAUCUGUUAUCUUUCUCCUCAAUAUGUUUAGCAAAUUUAUUGAGAUAUAAUGUACAUACAACACACCGCAUCCCUUUAGAAUAUAUAAUUAAUGCAUUUUGACAGGCUCGCAUCCAUAACACAGCCGUGACCAUCAAAAUACAAAACAUCUUCAUCACUUCCAAAAGUUUCCUUGGGUCCCUUUGCCAUCUGCCUUCCUCUCACCUUGGCCCUCGGCAAGCUUUGAUCUGCUUUUUGCCUCUAUAGAUUGUUUUGCAUUUUCUACAAUUUUAUAGAAAUGGAAUCAAUAUAGUAUAUACUCUUUUGCAUCUGUUUCUUUCAUUCAGUGUAAAGAUUUUGAGACUCAGGGCGCCUGGGUGGCUCAGUCGUUCAGCGUCUGCCUUCAGCUCAGGUCAUGAUCCCAGGGUCCUGGGAUCGAGUCCCACAUCGGGCUCCCUGCUCGGCAGGAAGCCCGCUUCUCCCUCUCCCACUCCCCCUGCUUGUGUUCCUGCUCUCACUGUCUCUCUCUGUCAAAUAAAUAAAUAAAUAAAUCUAUUAAAAAAAAAUUUGAGAUUCACCCAUACUGUUAUAUGUGUAAGUAGUUUGUUUCUUCUUAUCAGUGAGUAAUAUUUCAUUGUGUUGUGGGUAUAUGACAAUUUGUUUAUCCAUUUACCAGUUGAUGGAUAUUUGGGUUGCUUCCAGUUUUUGCCUAUGAUAAAUAAACCUGCUAUGAACACCAGCUUACGAGUCUUAGUGAGGACGUAUGUUAUUAUUUCUUUUUGGUAAGCCCUAGUUGUAGAAUUGCUGGGUCAUAUGGCAGAUGUAUAUUUAACUUUGCUAAGAGACUUCCAGUUGUCCUCAGUGGCUUACCAUUUUAUAUCCCCACCAAGAACAUAUGUGAGUUCCAGUUUUUCCAUAGUCCUGUCAAAACCUGUUGAUCUUUUAAAUUUGGCCAUCCUGGUGGGUGUGUGGUAGCAUCUUGUGAUUUUAAUUUGCAUUUUCCUAAUGACUAAUGACUUUGAGCAUCUUUUCAUGUGCCUAUUGGCCUUUUGUAUAUCUUCUGUGAAGUGUUUAAAUUUUUAUCUUUUUUAUUAGUUACCAUUAUUAUUGGGUUAUAAGAUGUCUUUAUGGAUGCUAGAUACCACUGUGUUAUAUCACUUGUUUUGCAGGUGAUUCUCUCUCAAUUUGUGGUAUUUUCAUUUUAUUAAAGGUGUCUUUCAAAGAGCAAAAGUUUUACAUUUUGAUCAAGUCCAAUUUAGCAGUUUGUUCUCUUAUAGUUCUUUGUGUUUUUAUGUCUUAUCUUUAUCUUUGCCUACCCCCAAAGUUUCAAAGAUUUUCUCCUAUGCUUUCUUCUAGAAGACUUAUAGUUUUAGCUUUUACAUUAAAGUUUGUCAUUUACUUUGAGUUAACUUUUGUAUAUGGUAUGAAAUAAGGGUCAACGUUUAUUGUUUCCUCUACAGUUAUCUUGUUCUAGCACCAUUUGUUGAAAUGACGUUUCCCCCCGUUAUAAUGCCUUGGCACUUUUGUCAAAAAAUUCAAUUGACCAUGUAAGUGGGUGUCUAUUUUUAGACUCUGUUCUUUUCCAUUGUUCUGUAUGUCUAUCCUAUCCUCCGAUAUCACACUGUCUUUAUUCUUAUACCUCUAGAGUAAAUCUUGAAAUAAAGUAGUAUGAAAACUCCAUUCUUUUAAAACUACUUUGAAAAUUAUAGAACCUUUGUGUUUCCGUAUAUAUUUUUAAAUUGUCGAUUUCUGCAACAAAAAAAAAAAAAGGAAAGAAAGCUUGCUAAAAUUUUGACUGUCAGAUUACUUUGAACCUAUAGCUCCAUUUGGGUAGAAUUGAUAUCUUAAUGAUAUUGUCAUCUUCCUAUCUAUGAACCUGGUAUGUCUCUGCAUUUCUUUAGGUCUUUAACUUCUACCAGCAAUAUUUUGCCCUUCUCACUAUAAAGAUCUUACACCUUGUAUUACUUUCCUAGGGCUACUGUAAUAGAUUAUCACAAACAGGUUGGUUUAAAACAACAGAGAUUUAUUCUUGCAGUUUAGGGGCCAAAAUUCCACAAUCAGGGUAUUGGCAGGUUAGUUCUUUCAAGACUCUUUAAGGAAGAAUCUGUUCCAUGCCUAGCUUCUGGAGGCUGCUAGCAAUCCUUGUUAUUCCUCAGCCAACCUCUCUACUUAUGUCUUCACAGGGCCUUCCCCUUCUAGGUCACAGUGUUGUCUCCUUUCCUGUCUCUUGUGAGGACACUGUCAUUGGACUUAGGGAACAGCUGAAUGCAGGAUGAUUUCAUCUCAAGAUCUUUACCUUAAUUGCAUCUGCAAAGACCUUUUUUCCAAAAAAGGUCACAUUCUGGGGUUCCAGGUAGACAUAUAUUCUGGGAGCCACAAUGGAACUCACUAUAUGCAUAUUUCUGAAAAUUUAUUCCUAAGUAUUUUAUGUUUUAUGAUGCUAUUUCAAAUGGUUUAAAAUUCUUUGUUUCCAAUGAUUUGCUGCUAGUAUUAAGGAUAUAAUUAAUGUGUAUGUAUUAAUCUUAUAUCUUAUGAUUUUGUUAAAUGCAAUUAUUAGUUCUGGUCAUUGUUAUAUAGAUUAUUUUAGGAUUUUCUACAUAAAUAAGCAUACCAGUUAUAAAUAGAGGCAAUUUUACUUCUUUUUCUAGUUAUGCAUUUUCUUUUUCUUGCUUUAUUACAAUUACUAGGAUGUCCAGGGAAAUGGUGACUAGAAGUGAGAAGAGCAGGCCUUUUUCCCAACAUUAGGCGGAAAUAAUUUUAUAAUUAAGCAUUAAGGAUGAUAUUUACAACACAUUUUUUUAUAUAAUGCCUGUUAUCAGAUUGAGAAAAUUCCUUUUUUAUUCAUAAUAUGUUGAGAGUUUUUUUAAAUAAAAAAUGAAUAUGAAUUUUGUCAAAUAAUUUUUUAAAGAUUUUAUUAUUUAUUUAUUCAUGAGAGACACAGAGAGAGGGACAGAGAGAGGCAGAGGGAGAAGCAGGCUCCCCGCGGAGCAGGGAGCCCGAUGCGGGACUCGAUCCCACUGGGACCACAACCCAAGCUGAAGGCAGAUGCCCUCAAAUAAUUUUUCUGCAUCUAAUGAUGUGCUUUUUUCCAUUUAUCCUACUAAGAUGAUGAAUUACCUUGAUUUUUAAAUACAAACCAAUCUUAUAUUCCUGGAAUAAAUCCUAAUGAGUGACCAUGUUUUUAUAUAUAUAUAUGUUGCAAGAUUGGAUUUAUUAAAAUUUUGUUAGGGAUUUUUGCAUUUAUGUUUAUGAAGGAUAUUGGUCUGUGAUUGCCUUGUAAUUUAUUUUCCAAUUUUGAUAAAAAAAUGAGUUAGGAAGUGUUCCCUCUUCUAUUUUUCAGAAAGGUUUGUAAGAUUGGUGUUAUUUCUUACUUGGAUAUUUGAUAGGAAUUACCAAUCAUACCAUUUGGACCUGGAAUAUUCUCUGUGGGAAGGUUUAGAUAAUGGAUUCAAUUGCUCUGAGAGAUAUAAGGCCAUUUCGAUUUUCUGUUUCAUCUGUGUCAGUUUUAGCAAGUGUAUUUUUCAAGGAAUUUGCUCAUUUUAUCUAUGUCCUGGCCUAGUUCUUUUUAUAUGUUAGCCUAGAUACCUUCUCCUCUUGAAACUUUCCCAGAUACCACCAAGAGAAGUAAUUUCACAUUCUUUGUGCCACUACUUUAUCUGGUAUCAUUUGUACUCUCCACCUUCCUUUGUGGUUGUUUGCCCAUAUAUCUCUUCGUAUACUAAGUUAAGGGCCUUGAAGUUUAAUGAUUGCAUCCUAUAUAUCUUUGAGUCUCUGUCACCUUACAUGGUGUUUGGCAUAAUAGAUACCAUCCAUCCCCAAUGUUUAAUCAACCAAUUCCAUUUGUCAUUGUCUAAUUUUUAGUUACACACCCAUGUUUCUACUUUCUCAGGAGAUUAUGAG